CCGACUAAUGUUGAAAAAUUAGCGGAUGACUUGUGGCUAGGGGUGAAAGGCCAAUCAAACUCGGAGAUAGCUGGUUCUCCCCGAAAGCUAUUUAGGUAGCGCCUCGGACGAAUACUACUGGGGGUAGAGCACUGUUAAGGCUAGGGGGUCAUCCCGACUUACCAACCCUUUGCAAACUCCGAAUACCAGUAAGUACUAUCCGGGAGACACACGGCGGGUGCUAACGUCCGUCGUGGAGAGGGAAACAACCCAGACCGCCAGCUAAGGUCCCAAAGUAUUGCUAAGUGGGAAACGAUGUGGGAAGGCUCAGACAGCUAGGAUGUUGGCUUAGAAGCAGCCAUCAUUUAAAGAAAGCGUAAUAGCUCACUAGUCGAGUCGGCCUGCGCGGAAGAUGUAACGGGGCUAAGCAAUACACCGAAGCUGCGGCAAUGUCUUUUAGACAUUGGGUAGGGGAGCGUUCUGUAAGCCGUUGAAGGUGAAUCGUAAGGUUUGCUGGAGGUAUCAGAAGUGCGAAUGCUGACAUGAGUAACGACAAAGGGGGUGAAAAACCUCCUCGCCGGAAGACCAAGGGUUCCUGUCCAACGUUAAUCGGGGCAGGGUGAGUCGACCCCUAAGGUGAGGCCGAAAGGCGUAAUCGAUGGGAAACGGGUUAAUAUUCCCGUACUUCUGACUAUUGCGAUGGGGGGACGGAGAAGGCUAGGUGGGCCAGGCGACGGUUGUCCUGGUUCAAGUGCGUAGGCUUGAGAGUUAGGUAAAUCCGGCUCUCUCUAAGGCUGAGACACGACGUCGAGCUACUACGGUAGUGAAGUCAUUGAUGCCAUGCUUCCAGGAAAAGCCUCUAAGCUUCAGAUAGUCAGGAAUCGUACCCCAAACCGACACAGGUGGUCGGGUAGAGAAUACCAAGGCGCUUGAGAGAACUCGGGUGAAGGAACUAGGCAAAAUGGUACCGUAACUUCGGGAGAAGGUACGCUCUUGAUGGUGAAGUCCCUCGCGGAUGGAGCUGACGAGAGUCGCAGAUACCAGGUGGCUGCAACUGUUUAUUAAAAACACAGCACUGUGCAAAAUCGCAAGAUGACGUAUACGGUGUGACGCCUGCCCGGUGCCGGAAGGUUAAUUGAUGGGGUUAGCGCAAGCGAAGCUCUUGAUCGAAGCCCCGGUAAACGGCGGCCGUAACUAUAACGGUCCUAAGGUAGCGAAAUUCCUUGUCGGGUAAGUUCCGACCUGCACGAAUGGCGUAAUGAUGGCCACGCUGUCUCCACCCGAGACUCAGUGAAAUUGAAAUCGCUGUGAAGAUGCAGUGUACCCGCGGCUAGACGGAAAGACCCCGUGAACCUUUACUACAGCUUGGCACUGAACAUUGAACCUACAUGUGUAGGAUAGGUGGGAGGCUAUGAAGACGUGACGCCAGUUGCGUUGGAGCCGUCCUUGAAAUACCACCCUUGUAUGUUUGAUGUUCUAACUUAGACCCAUUAUCUGGGUUGAGGACAGUGCCUGGUGGGUAGUUUGACUGGGGCGGUCUCCUCCCAAAGAGUAACGGAGGAGCACGAAGGUGGGCUAAUCACGGUUGGACAUCGUGAGGUUAGUGCAAUGGCAUAAGCCC
rnacentral:rRNA from 1 species